AACAUCGCGCACCUGCGGGAACCUGCGGAGGGAUCAUUACAGAGUGUAAAAACUCCCUAACCCGUGUGAACCUAUACCACUGUUGCUUCGGCGGACUCGCCCCGGGCGCCACCGCGCGCCCCGGAACCAGGCGGCCGCCGGGGGACCAAACCAAACUCUUGUAUCUCCAGUACGUCGUCUGAGUGGAUCUCCCCUGAAAAGGAAAUCAAAUCAAAACUUUCAACAACGGAUCUCAGAUCG
rnacentral:misc_RNA from 1 species